UUGUUAAAUAAUGAUGUGACAAACAGAAUGUCACGUCAUCACUUCUUAUCACGGAUAUCUCAUUGUCACGUUAUCACCUUUAAUGAUGUGUUUGUGAUUGGACAUGAUGACGUGACAUUUUGUCUGUCACGUCAUUAUUUAACGGAA
rfam:Glycine max cultivar Williams 82 chromosome 9, whole genome shotgun sequence.